UUUAUUACAAUAUAUCAGCCAUAUUUGCUUUUAGGACAUAUAUCUAACACUUCCCAAUGCGAAAUACUCUACACUAGAAAGUGGGGGGUAAAGUGUUAUACCUUAUUUGGUCCUUUGCCAACAUAUUCGAUUUUCAAAGGCUUGGCGGAUACAUGGCAUCAUGACCUGGUGGUUCAAGGCACGUGAUCUGAGCAACCUUAUGUGACCCGAACGGUGUCCCAGACAUCUGCACCUAGCCGAUCACCGCACGAGAUCGGUAACGCGGCGAUGCUUAUGUCAUCGGAUUUCUACCAAUCCCAUAUCACUUCCAUCUGGGCUCCCCAUAAGCCGUCUUUCAAAUCGGAUGCUCUCAAAAGCACCCAACCAAUGAAUCUCACUGGGUUGGCAUCCUGCUGUAUAGACUCAUGAUACCUUCAGAUGUGGGUGGCAGGCUCCGUGGUAGCUUGCUGAUACCCACUUUUCUGAUUUUGAUAGCCAUUACUCUGACUUUAGAGAUAUCCACUAUGGCUCUGACAAUUAUGACCCUAAUACUUAUGGGUGCUAAUGGCUUGGUAGGCUCUCUCCCACAAAAGAGGAAGAGGGAGGAAAAGAUGGGAGGGAUAAUUUUCUUUUUUUUUUCCCACUGCAUUUGGAGGCUCUAUUAUUCUCAUCUUAUUCUCUCUUCUCGACUACCGCUGGCUUAACUGUUGAGGGUGCCCGUCUUGUUUUCCAGUGCAACAGUUAAUGUUUAGAAAAAAUAAAAUAUUAGUUUCAGGAAGCUGCCGGCUGAGCCCGGUGAGCCUAGAAUAAUCAAAAGCUGACCGUGGGUGAGAGGAGAGCACAGAGUGAGAGAUGGGGAAGCGCGGGAAGAAGCUGUCGGAGCGACAAAAGCCUCGAUGCUUCCCUCUCGCCGGCGACGACGAA
rnacentral:lncRNA from 1 species